rnacentral:tRNA from 1 species
GUAGUGCGGAGCGGCCACCACCCAGUGCAGUCCAUAGUCAGCGAGGACCUCGCGAGGUGCCAUCGGACGCCGCCAAGGGCCCUUCUAAUCCGAUGGCCGCAGGUUCGAAUCCUGCCGGGUGCGCCA